CAAAUUUUUGCCCUUUUCUCUAUCUCCUAUGAUUUAUGGCCCCUCUGCUGUAGGGUCCCCAUUCCAUCUACAGGAUAAAAAUUCACUAAAACUUUUACACUUUGUGUAACAAAGCUCUUCUGACAUUGUACUUUAUUGCUCGUGUGAGUCUGUAUAAUCUGGAUCUCUCACCGUGAAGGAAGGAAUAAUGGAGCACUAAUAACUUUAGAAGUUUCUCCUGUGAUAGUGUUUUUUGAAAAUCUUCAUGGAGAAUCAACUGUGAAGCCUGGACACAGAAGAGUGAGAGACUAUCUCAUGGUUAAUAAGUGGCAUGGUCAGGACUUGAAUAAAGCCUGUCUGGUUAAAAGCCACAGUCUUAACUGCUAAGAAUGACAUGUGACAUUAUGACACGUGCUGUGUGUGUGUGUGUGUGUGUGUGUGUGUAUGAGGGAGGGAGGGAGAAAAGAAAGAGAGGUGAAAAGAACAUAUGACACAGUCUUACCUCUCCCAGUCCUUUCAAAGGGCAGUAAGUUGGGAAUCAUGUAGUCUUCUGUGUGAGCUCAGUGCUGCCUAGACAUAUGUAAUGUCAAGAAAAUAGGGUUUGGUAGCAUUUCAGUGGGAGAACAAGGAUGCAUGUAAGUGAGAUUAAUCACUCUUAGUGAAAAAGAAACAUUUUCUUAGUGACCUUUAUUUUAUAACUUUUGACAAGUAUUUUAAUCCUUAGUAUUUCAAAAACUUGAAGCAUAUAGUUAUUGCAAGGACGUCAUAAUUUUAUGCUUGAAAACAUUGGGAACACUGAGUGAUCUUUCACCUCUGCAAAGAUCUUAGUGCUAAGUGUUAUUGAGAGAAGAUAAAUACAAGUGGGAACAUACUCUGACUUAUUGCCCUAAAUCAGGGCAAAAAGAGGAAGGCUAGACCUAACUUAUUGCACCCCUUAAUGUGAUCCACAGAUUGGUGUUGCUGGCCAGACUGAUUGUAAACAGCUUGUGACCAGACAGAUACAAACAUUGAGAGUUCUUAGAAACAUUUGGGUAAUUGGAAGAAAUUUGAAAAUGUAAUUUUAUGGCUAUUGAAUCUAAUGAUAGAAACCAUGGCAUUUGUAUUUUCUAUACCUUUUCUUUUUAUUUUCUUGUUUUCUCUAGUUUCAUUCAGGUAUAAUUGACAAAUAAAAUUGCAUAUAUUUAAAGUAUACA
rnacentral:lncRNA from 12 species